rnacentral:tRNA from 1 species
GCGCCCGUAGCUCAGCCGGAUAGAGCGCUGCCCUCCGGAGGCAGAGGUCAGAGGUUCGAAUCCUCUCGGGCGCGCCA